GAGCGAAUACAGCCGGUCCGCGAUGGCUCGUGAAUACAUCAGCAGCAUGCGGCGGUGGCAGUGCGGCUUCAACGGCGGCCAGAUUUAUUUCGACUGAUCCACUCGAGCGGUGGCUAGCAGCAGCAGCAGCAGGUAUGAUGGUACUCCGUCUAUUAGUCAGCAUAAUUGGGUAAAGCAGUACCGACGCAGUGCAAGGGACAUCUACUACUUUGUCCAAGUGGGUAAAGACCAAGGACAAGAGUUAGAAGUACACUUAUUUGAGGACGGAUUGAGUAGCAUCCAAAUAGCACAACGAUGCUACAUCAUCCUGAUUUCCAUGAUUCCUCAUGCUGUGCUGCAGUCCAACGUGUGCGUGAAGCAGCUCACUUAUGCAGCGGUAGAACAGGUGCUUGUGACCCUCUUCCGUCGCAGAAUGUACAGCUGUAUAUCAGAAGGUAUGUAAAUUAGUCGCCCCAUGAUGCAAUCUAGAUCAAGUGUUUUUCUUUGACAGGUAUCUAGAGUUCUAGACCAUCAAGUUAAUAUCUCUAGUCCCAGGCUUGUAAAGUACAAAGAGAUUCAAGUGUAUAGCUGUACCAUUUUCUUUCGUUUUGCCUCUGCCUGUCGUUCUGCUGAGGAGAUCAAAAUCAUUCUCUAGGAGAUGAGCAAUUGAGCAUCCCCAGCUCCCAUGCAUGGAUUCCAUCUUGAAAUCUCUUGAAUAUAUCUGUAGAUGAUUCCAAGAAAUUCAUGUCAAGAGUAGUAGCCUGAGGUGAUUGACAAAGCACAAGUGUUGUGUCCCAAAAUACCAGUCGUUGACAGCUGAAUCUUUGCCCUGGCUGCUGCCUGCUGACCUUGGACAGAAGCUUGGGAGACAUGGACAUGUACCCUUCUUUUCAAGUCCUUUUGUUUUAGUUCCUUGAUCCUCCCAUCCGUAGCUAAAUAACUUUGACGCUUGACUCCAUGCAUGUAAAGUUCCAAAGAAAAAAACUUGAGUCGAUGUGGACUUGGUGACCGACACUCGUGAGUUGUGACUGCAUUUGGAUUCCAUGUGCAGGAACAGGUUAGGUGAUUCUUGAGAGGGAAGGCUUGAACAGACUGAACAUGCUGCAAACAAAGCUAUCCAUCCUAGGAUUCUUGAUGGCUCUGAUCAUAGGCCAUAUCUAGCUCUCUUUUUUAUUUUCUGUUAUGGAACAAGACCAUCAAAAAACAGAUUAUGGAACUAUACACUCUACUAUUCCUUUUUCUGCA